GUGUGCGCUUGUUUCUUACAGUUGAAGGUCAUUCUUUAUAUAUCCGGAAUUUGCCUCUAAAUGUAACUGUUGCUCAGCUUGAGGCUGAAUUUGCAAAAUUUGGACCUAUUAAGCAGAAUGGGGUCCAUGUCCGCAGAAACGAGCUACAAGGAUUCUGUUUUGGCUUUGUUGAGUUUCAAGAGUUCAGUUCCAUCCAAAGUGCAAUCAAGGCUUCUCCUAUAACUAUCAGGGGCCAUCAAGCUACUGUGGAGAUAAAGAGAACCACAUCUCGAGUUGGCAGCGGGAGGG